GAGGCUAUAGCUCAAGUUGUAGAGCACAUGCUUAGCAUGCACUAGGUCCUGGGUUCAAUCCCCAGUUACCCCC
rnacentral:tRNA from 1 species